UACGUAGGGGGCGAGCGUUGUCCGGAGUUACUGGGCGUAAAGCGCACGCAGGCGGUCUGCUAAGUUUGGAGUGACAGUUGGUGGCUUAACUGCCAAAGUGCUUCGAAAACUGACAGACUUGAGGGCUUCAGAGGGACACGGAAUUCCGGGUGGAGUGGUGAAAUGCGUAGAGAUCCGGAGGAACACCAAAGGCGAAGGCAGUGUCCUGGGGAGUGCCUGACGCUCAGGUGCGAAAGCCAGGGGAGCGAACGGG
rnacentral:rRNA from 1 species